UCCGGCUUAUCACCGGCAGUCCCUCUAGAGUGCCCAACUUAAUGAUGGCAACUAAAGGCAAGGGUUGCGCUCGUUGCGGGACUUAACCCAACAUCUCGCGACACGAGCUGACGACAGCCAUGCAGCACCUGUGUUCAGGCUCCCUUUCGGGCACCUCUGCAUUUCUGCAGAGUUCCUGACAUGUCAAGGGUAGGUAAGGUUUUUCGCGUUGCAUCGAAUUAAACCACAUCAUCCACCGCUUGUGCGGGCCCCCGUCAAUUCCUUUGAGUUUUAAUCUUGCGACCGUACUCCCCAGGCGGGGUACUUCCUGCGUUAGCGCCGGCACCCAGAGGGUCGCUCCCCCAGGCACCUAGUACCCAUCGUUUACGGCGUGGACUAC
rnacentral:misc_RNA from 1 species